AUGGGCAGGCGCUCCGCGAAGGCCGCCCCUCAGACAGCUAUCUUUUCAGCAGGGCUUGCCCGGGUCUGCUUAAACUGGGAAGUGAAGCAUGCAAAGGCUGAGAGGGAGGCGGAGGCAACCGAGAGGAGCAAGCAGGGACGGGCGAGGCGAGCCGGCCGUCAAAAACGGCAUAUGUCCUCCAGAAAACUGAGGUGAGAACAUCGAAUUAGAAUCCACAAUGCAUGUCAUCGGUGACAGAAUGAAAGCUCGUAAAGAGACCGAGGCUGAGCUCAAGAUCACACUAGGAAAUGACUGAUCCAGAAAAACGUCUUCAAUUGGCCAACUUCCAGACAGGUGAGAAAAAUUGUCUCCAACGUGCUGUUGAGCCAUAAGUUGUCUCUUUAUUACAUCCCAGAGGGAAGAAGUUGAAUGGAAAAGAUUCCACAGUUUAACUAUGAGAGGACGUUACACAUUUCAGUGGAAGAAAAAAAUUUUCAUCAAAAGCUAAGUAGAUAAAUUAAAGAUGCUAUAAUAAGUCUUGGGAUAUAGGCUGUGCAUUUGUUUUGCUUUGUUUUUUAAAUCCAUUAAAGAUACUAAAUCUGUAUACCAGAUGCUGAAGUAGGACUCACUCAACUCAGUUUUGCCUUUCCCAUCUGAAGUCAGUCAGUCUUUAGGGCAGCUGAUUGCUUUUGGAGUCUGGAGGUGAGGGAGAGCUGGCAGGGACAGAGGGAAGAGAAGAGAGAAGAUCCAGGGACAGUGACUGCAGACUCCCUGAGGAAGUCUCGGGAUGUACAAUAUGGGAAAGUGCCAAAGUCCUAAGCUGGAAAACAAAGCAAAACCAAACCAAACCCCAGCAUGGGGAAAUAAAAGGAAGUUCUACACUGAACAGAGUGUGCACAGAAGCAUCUCUUUAUGUGAAGAGCAGUGGAGUUUUGUGGCCUGAACACACAAUUACAUAGAAUUUAGUAAUACAAAAGCUACUAUUUAUUGAAUGCUUUUUAACAAAUAGGACUUUAAUAAGUAGUACUGUGCUUAAUAUCUUACAGAGAUUAUUUUAUUCGAUCCUCACACAGUUGACACAAUUAUAGACUGUGUUCCAUUUUGCAGAUGAGGAAAUGGAAACAUUAAUCAGUUGCCUACUAAGUGGGCCAACAAUCUGACUGGAAUCUAGAAUUCUUCCUCCCCCUUGCAAUAUCAGUGGUUUUGAUGAGGGUUCUUGCUUGCAAGCAACAAAAUGAGCUCUGGUUAUCUAAAGGAAACAAAAAUGUUGAAGGAAAGGGGGCUCAUAGACUCUGAGAGGCUGGAAGAACAGGCUUAGGAAACAAGGAAGAACCCAGGGCCUAAGGAGGCCAGGCCAUAGGAACACUCUAUCCAAGAUGCCACCAUCUCUGCUUCUGCUGCACCACACCUUCUAGAAAUGACUACUGGACAUCAUGCUGACCCCUUGAACUGCUCCUCCUUCAUCGGGGUGCACGGGCCUGUGUGGGAGGGUCCAUGGCCCGGCACUGGGGCCCCUGCUCUAU